CUGGUUUCACGUGGUGGCUUAGA
rnacentral:miRNA from 1 species